rnacentral:rRNA from 1 species
GACGAACGCUGGCGGCGUGCUUAACACAUGCAAGUCGAACGGAAACGCCCUGCUUUUGUGGGGUGAUCGAGUGCCGAACGGGUGAGUAUCACGUGAGUAACCGGCUCUUGACUUUGGGAUAACUUCAGGAAACUGGGGCUAAUAUCGGAUAGGAGCUCCUGUACCAUGGAGGGCGUGGGAAAUUCUCGGCGUUCGGGGUUGGACUGGCGGCUUACCAGCUUGCUGGUGGGGUAGUGGCAUACCAAGGCUUUGACGGGUAGCCCGCCUGUGAGGGUGACCGGCCACAUUGGUACUGAGAUAGGGCCCAGAGUGCAACGGUAGACAGCGGUGGGAAGUAUGACACAACGAGCGGAAGCGGGAUGAAGAAGCCCCGCGUGCGUAAUGACGGCCUUCGGGUUGUAAACCGCAUUCGCCUGAUACGAAGCGUGAGUGACGGUAAUGGAUAAAGAAGCACCGGCUAACUACGUG